rnacentral:rRNA from 1 species
CCUACGGGAGGCAGCAGUGGGGAAUAUUGCACAAUGGGGGAAACCCUGAUGCAGCAACGCCGCGUGAGUGAAGAAGUAUUUCGGGAUGUAACGCUCUAUCAGCAGGGAAGAAAAUGACAGUACCUGACUAAGAAGCCCCGGCUAACUACGUGCCAGCAGCCGCGGUAAUACGUAGGGGGCAAGCGUUAUCCGGAUUUACUGGGUGUAAAGGGAGCGUAGACGGCUGCGCAAGUCAGAAGUGAAAGCCAGGGGCUCAACCGCGGGACUGCUUUUGAAACUGUGUAGCUAGAGUGCAGGAGAGGUAAGUGGAAUUCCUAGUGUAGCGGUGAAAUGCGUAGAUAUUAGGAGGAACACCGGUGGCGAAGGCGGCUUACUGGACUGUAACUGACGUUGAGGCUCGAAAGCGUGGGGAGCAAACAGGAUUAGAUACCCUUGUAGUC